GAUGAACGCUGGCGGCGUGCUUAACACAUGCAAGUCGAACGGAAAGGCCAGUGCUUGCACUGGUACUCGAGUGGCGAACGGGUGAGUAACACGUGGGUGAUCUGCCCUGUACUUCGGGAUAAGCUUGGGAAACUGGGUCUAAUACCGGAUAGGACAACUUUUUGGAUAUUGUUGUGGAAAGCUUUUGCGGUAUGGGAUGAGCUCGCGGCCUAUCAGCUUGUUGGUGGGGUAAUGGCCUACCAAGGCGUCGACGGGUAGCCGGCCUGAGAGGGUGUACGGCCACAUUGUGACUGAGAUACGGCCCAGACUCCUACGGGGGGCAGCAGUGGGGAAUAUUGCACAAUGGGCGCCAGCCUGAUGCAGCGACGCCGCGUGGGGGAUGAAGGCCUUCGGGUUGUAAACUCCUUUCGCUAGGGACGAAGCUUUUUUGUGACGGUACCUGGAGAAGAAGCACCGGCUAACUACGUG
rnacentral:rRNA from 1 species